UGGCGUUGUUCUCCGGCUCGUCCGUUUUCCGACUGUCCCGUUUGCGGAUCAGCGGACCGUCCGGAGAAACGCCAGUAACCCUUUCUUAUUUACUUUUUAUGAGCCAUUUGCGCCUCACUUAUCACAAUGCUGUCGUCUUAAUCAGUUUCUCUAAGUUUGUUACUUCACUCUCUGUGUAAACCAAACGCUUCCUGCGCAAAGAAGCACCGUGCGCGCCGAGAUGUCGGACCGCGAAGUUCGUUCCCGCAAGAAGCGCAAAGCAGCGCUGGAGAAAGGAACAGCUGACGAAGGUUCCAAGGAAAAGCAUAAACCCCAAAAGCACUCAGAUUCUGAGUUAGAAGAUGACGCGUCAGUUACUGAACCGAGUGCAACAGCAAGAAUUGCGUUCUUGGUUGUUUUCAUCGCCCUGGCCAUGAUGGUUGGAGCUAUCUUUUUGGCACUGCAGAGUUCGUCAUCUUUAAAUGCAUUUUAUAAUGAAGCUGAGCGUGAAGCAAAUGAAGACUUCAUAGUUGCCCAAGAAGAAAUGGAAGUUGAAAGUCAGCAUUAUGCUACUGAUGUGGAGGGAUCUAGUGAAUUAGAGCCAAGUGUCCAAAGUAAAGAGCAAAGCAUCAACUUGGGAACCUUCAGCAUAGAUCCCACAGAGCCGCUGCAGGCUCCUGAGAAUGCAGCGUUUGACAGUAGCCAGACAAGCACACUGACACAGAACUUUGAGUCGUUCCAGACCACAGACCAUACGGAAGGGCCUGUUGGGCAGACAUCGGAAACGGUAUCAUCAACGCUUACGGAAACAGAUGUCCUAAGCUCUACUGAAAUACUACAGCCUUCAGAGGCUUCAGAGAUUAAGCAGGAUGAAAGUGCCCAGGCAUUGUCCUUAGAGGCAACAAAAGUAUCUGAGGCUUCUUCACCUCCAGCAUCAGAGGUGGCCACAUCUACAUUGGAAACAAUGGCUUUGAAUGCAGAUCCACUUGAAGAACAGGCUGCUAUCACAAAUGAGUAUGAUGCAAGGAUUCAGAAGGAUCUCCAAGAAUCUGAAGAGCUAGUUGAGCAGUCCCCUGAAAAGGCUCUUGAGAAGUUUAAGCAGCUUCUCCAAACCCACCCACAAAGUCCCAGAGCCAACUAUGGCAAAGCACUGGCCUUGGAGAAGGUUGCUGAACUGAGGAAGAGCAAUUCGAUUCUGGAACAGAGCAUCCAGGCUUACUUGGAUGUGAUGAAGUUGCCGAAGGUACCCCAUGAGUUGUACCUCAGGGCGGGAAACAAAGCUGUGGAUCGCAUGCGCUUCCGAGGAAUUUUCACCAAAGCUAUAAAACUGCAGGCGGAAAUGAGCAGCAAGUUCCCAGAUAAUAUUGGAAUCAAGAAUCAAAUGGCAGUUUCUUACCUCAUGAUUGGGCAAGGAAAAGUUGCUGCUGGGCUGCUUGAACAGGUUUUGAAACAAGACCCAAAAAAUGGGUUUGCCAAGGUGCACUAUGGUUUCAUAUUGAAGACUGAAAGGAAUGACUUGGAAGGUGGCAUCAAGUAUAUGAGCGAAGGCAUCGCAACCAAGGAGCCAGGCGUCAUAGACGGUCGGUUUUACUUGCACCUAGGAGAUGCCCUCCAGAGAACUGGACAGAAUGAUAAGGCCCUGGACGCCUACAAAGAAGGAGUCAAGGAGGGGCUCUUUGCAUCUGUUUACCAGCGCUCUCUCUACAGCGUUGACGGCCUGAAAGCUCAGCCAUGGUGGGACCCAAAGGAAACACCUUAUGCAUCAAGUGUGAAGGAGCUGGAAAAGCACUGGAUUGACAUAAAAAAUGAAGCACUCUCUCUAAUGACUGACAAAGGUUUUAAACCUGAAGCUGAGAACCUGAGGGACUCGGGAGAUUGGAAGCAGUUUGAAAUUUUUGCAAGAGGCAAAUAAGAUUGAGAGGAACUGCAGAUUGGCUCCUAAAACAUGUGCACUCAUAAGCCAGAUACCAGAUGCUGCAGGCUGUAAAAGAGGACAGGCAAAAUUUUCUGUCAUGCACCCAGGCACCCACGUUUGGGCACAUGUGGGGCCAACAAACUGCAGGCUUCGCUCACACCUUGGACUUGUUGUGCCAGCUAAAGUUCGUAUCCGAGUUGCCAAUGAGA
rnacentral:misc_RNA from 1 species